rnacentral:rRNA from 1 species
UACAGAGGUAGCAAGCGUUGUUCGGAUUUAUUGGGCGUAAAGGGUCUGUAGGCGGUUCGGAAAGUCGGAUGUGAAAUCCCACAGCUUAACUGUGGAACUGCAUUCGAAACUUCCGAGCUUGAGUGUGAGAGGGGUAAAGGGAAUUCCCGGUGUAAGGGUGAAAUCUGCAGAGAUCGGGAGGAACAUCAGUCGCGAAGGCGCUUUACUGGCUCACUACUGACGCUGAGGGACGAAAGCUAGGGGAGCAAACGGG